AGCCCAGGCUGACUAAGGAGGCCGGAGAGGGCUUCCUGUCACAGCGGACCUUGAGCUGCACUUAGAAGGACAGACAGGAAUUAGCUGGAAGGAUAGGUGGACAGAACGGCAGGUGCAAAGGUGGAGAGGCUGUGAGUGCAUGGCAUGUUCUGGUAACAAAGGACAAGAUGUUUGCCCGGCUGGAGUGCAGGGAUCACCAGGGAGGGGCCUAGAUAAGGCUGUAUCCAAAGACGAAGCGGGAUCUACGGCCAAGGCCACUCCACGUGACGGGGAGAACCUACCUCACAGGCUUUUGCCAACCAGCUUUAGGCAGGGAGCACUGUGGUCCACCCUUGGGCCAUCCCCCACCAGAAGGUUCCUUAGUCACGUGGGUGUGGGCUCCCAGCACAGGCUCUGAGACUGCCCAGACCGAAAAUGGUCUCCUCCCAUCUCCUUUGGACCAGGGUGUGCACACAGCCAAGUGCCUGGUAACAUGACCCCUGUGGGCCCAGGCAGCAGCCUCAGGGUUGUUUGAGCAGGAAAUUCCUUGUCCUUAUAAGCUCCUCACUCCAAGGGAAGGGAGGAUCCAGAGGAAAACAUGAAGGGGGUCGUCUAAUGCGGGGGUCCCUGAGUCUAAGGAUGGUAUGGGGGUCUGCCGGGCAAGGUCUCAGUGGCCCGGCAGGGCCAGCUCUCAUUCAGUGCAAGCAGGAGAACAGUGACACCAUUGCUUCCAGCCUUGUCUGGGGACCCAAGGCCCUGCUUCUUUUUGGACGAAGUGCUGGCAAUAAUUCCAAACAUAUAUCCCCAAUUCAUCCCUUCUCUCCAUCUCUCCACAGAUAUCCCGGUUCCAGCCACCAUGCUCUCUCACCUGGACCAUUGGAGCAGCCUCUAACUGGUGUCCCUGCUGUCCUCCUUGCCUUCCCCCUCCCCCAAGCAUUCUCCACAAAGCAGCCCGAGUUACCCGUUAAACAUGUGCUGGGAUCAUGUCACUCACCUACUUCAACUUCCUGGUACCGCCCACUGCAUGUGGAGGAAGACGGGUGAUGUCUCAGCCAGGCCACAAGGCCUGCAUAAUUUGGCCCUCACCUCUUCGAACUCCUCAGACUCUUCUUAGCUCCCAACUACGCUCUCUUCAGAGCCUGGUGUCUCCCAGCCUCCGGGUGCUUCCCUUUGCUGUGCUGGCUCCCCGGAACCUUCUUCCGAAAUGUUGGCGCGAUGCCUGCUUCCUGUCACUUGAGUCUCCCCUUCUGGAGGAGGUUCCCCGCAGAAUGCCAGCUCCGCAGACAGGACCUUGUCUGUCCUGUUCCGCCUAUUUCCAGAGCUAGAACAGGCCUUGGCAUAUGGGAGAGCCUCAAGUAUUUGUUGACUGGACAGGAAUGGAUUCUAUUCAAGAAAACCCUUACCCGGCCAUCUUCCCAGAACUCAGCUUCUUCCCAAGCCUAGGAGGGCUGCUCAAGGGUGGCCCCAAAGGAUGCUGGGAAGACCCACCCCCUGGGCGCCGGGAGCCUCCUGAAGCCGGGCCUGGAGGGUCUGCACAGUCCACACAGCACCUCCCAACCCCCCCGGCUAACCAGAAAGAAGCCCCGAAGGCAGAUGCAGACCCUGGGGUUCGGCUGAGCAGAAAAUGCCUUUCUCAGGAGGAAACGGCCUCUCUCUCUCAGCCAGGACACAGGUGAGGAGAGCUGGAGCCUCCUGAAUGGGGCUCGUCUGUGUAGCGACAAAUUCUCAGCCAGACAAGACAGCCCUGAACCCUCUCCCCCCACCCCCACCUUCGCUCCAGAGCAUCCAUAUCUAUAGGGCACUGCUGGGAGGGUGCCAGGAGAGCAAGACUUAGUCCUUGGAUGUGAGAUAUCAGGUCCACCUGGGAGAACAGGCCUGCCUCCUGUGGGCUGGUGGCCGCCCCAGCAUGUAGACCUCACAGCCCUACUGCUCAAGGGGUGGGGCCAGGCUCCUGGAGCCCACUUUGUGCACCAACCAUUUUGAUCCCAUUCCUUCUCUUUGCUGAAGGCAAGAAACCAAAUUGAAAAGCAAAGCAAGCAUCUCUGGGUGCUGGCUCAUAGAGGGCUCAGUGCCAGCCCUCUGUCCUAGUGAUUGUGCUGUUCCUCAUGGCCACACACGGUGUGUGAAACAGCCCUGCGUGCAGACACUGAAGCUGCAGGAGAAACAAGCUGUCCACGGCCGGCUGCCUGUUUCCAGACUCCCUCUCCAUUCCGGCCUGCUGGGUUCCCCCCAAAGGCAGCCAGUAUCAGCGCCUGCGCUGGUCUGUGCUAACCGGCUGUCAGCUUACGGCGUUAACAAACAGAAUGGUUAAUGCACCAUUCUUGACUUCCAAGAUAAAGCCUUAAGGG